rnacentral:rRNA from 1 species
CGGGGAUAGCCUUUCGAAAGAAAGAUUAAUACCCGAUAGCAUAAUGAUUCCGCAUGGUUUCAUUAUUAAAGGAUUCCGGUAAAGGAUGGGGAUGCGUUCCAUUAGGUUGUUGGUGGGGUAACGGCCCACCAAGCCUUCGAUGGAUAGGGGUUCUGAGAGGAAGGUCCCCCACAUUGGAACUGAGACACGGUCCAAACUCCUACGGGAGGCAGCAUG